rnacentral:rRNA from 1 species
UACGUAGGGACCGAGCGUUGUCCGGAAUCAUUGGGCGUAAAGAGCGUGUAGGCGGCCAAUUAAGUCCUGCGUGAAAUCUCGGGGCUCAACCCCGAGCGGUCGUGGGAAACUGGUUGGCUAGAGUGCGGGAGAGGAGAGUGGAAUUCCUGGUGUAGCGGUGAAAUGCGCAGAUAUCAGGAGGAACACCGGUGGUGUAGACGGCUUUCUGGACCGUAACUGACGCUGAGACACGAAAGCGUGGGUAGCAAACAGG